rnacentral:rRNA from 1 species
AAUGUGACACAUAAUCGGAGGCCACGACUGUUUACUAAAAACACAACACAGUGCAAUCAUUAAUGUGAUAGUAUACUGUGUGAAAUUUGCCCAAUGCCCAUUAAUAUAAGAACAAUCAUGGUUAGUAUGCUAGCCUUCCCUCACCAAAGUGACUAACCUAACCUUCGGUUAGGUAAGAUACGGACAGGCAACUACUAAUAAAACUGUGANUUAUCGAAAGUCUGGUUAAUAGCGGUCUUAACUAUGAGGAUCCUAAGGUAGCNAAAUAAAUUGGCCAUUAAAUGUGGUCCGGNAUCAAUAAAGUAACGAUGGUCUUCGCUGUCUUCUACAACUU